rnacentral:rRNA from 1 species
UGCCAGCCGCCGCGGUAAAACGUAGGGGGCGAGCGUUAUCCGGAAUUAUUGGGCGUAAAGCGCGUGUAGGCGGUUUGUUAAGUUGGUUGUGAAAGCUCCCGGCUCAACUGGGAGAGGUCAAUCAAAACUGAUAGACUUGAGGCAGGUAGAGGGACAUGGAAUUCCUGGUGUAGUGGUGGAAUGCGUAGAGAUCAGGAGGAACCUCAGAGGCGAAAGCGAUGUCCUGGGCCUGACCUGACGCUGAGAUGCGAAAGCGUGGGUAGCGAACGGGAUUAGAUA